rnacentral:rRNA from 1 species
UGGCCUUGAGCCGUGGCUUUCGGAGCUAACGCGUUAAGUAGACCGCCUGGGGAGUACGGUCGCAAGAUUAAAACUCAAAUGAAUUGACGGGGGCCCGCACAAGCGGUGGAGCAUGUGGUUUAAUUCGAUGCAACGCGAAGAACCUUACCUACUCUUGACAUCCAGAGAACUUUCCAGAGAUGGAUUGGUGCCUUCGGGAACUCUGAGACAGGUGCUGCAUGGCUGUCGUCAGCUCGUGUCGUGAGAU